UAGCCAUGGGCAGGUUGAAGGUUGGGUAACACUAACUGGAGGACCGAACCGACUAAUGUUGAAAAAUUAGCGGAUGACUUGUGGCUGGGGGUGAAAGGCCAAUCAAACCGGGAGAUAGCUGGUUCUCCCCGAAAGCUAUUUAGGUAGCGCCUCGUGAAUUCAUCUCCGGGGGUAGAGCACUGUUUCGGCAAGGGGGUCAUCCCGACUUACCAACCCGAUGCAAACUGCGAAUACCGGAGAAUGUUAUCACGGGAGACACACGGCGGGUGCUAACGUCCGUCGUGAAGAGGGAAACAACCCAGACCGCCAGCUAAGGUCCCAAAGUCAUGGUUAAGUGGGAAACGAUGUGGGAAGGCCCAGACAGCCAGGAUGUUGGCUUAGAAGCAGCCAUCAUUUAAAGAAAGCGUAAUAGCUCACUGGUCGAGUCGGCCUGCGCGGAAGAUGUAACGGGGCUAAACCAUG
rnacentral:rRNA from 1 species